GUCCAGACUCCUACGGGAGGCAGCAGUGAGGAAUAUUGGUCAAUGGUCGGGAGACUGAACCAGCCAAGCCGCGUGAGGGAGGAAGGUACAGAGUAUCGUAAACCUCUUUUGUCAGGGAACAAAGGCGGGGACGUGUCCCCGGAUGAGUGUACCUGAAGAAAAAGCAUCGGCUAACUCCGUGCCAGCAGCCGCGGUAAUACGGAGGAUGCGAGCGUUAUCCGGAUUUAUUGGGUUUAAAGGGUGCGCAGGCGUGUGUGUAACGCCGGGGUAGAAGCCCGGGGCUCCCCCCCCUGCCCGCCGUUGAAACUGGCAGUCUCGAGUUGGAGAUAAGUAUGCGGAAUGCGCGGUGUAGCGGUGAAAUGCAUAGAUAUCGCGCAGAACUCCGAUUGCGAAGGCAGCAUGCCGGCUCCACACUGACGCUGAGGCACGAAAGCGUGGGUAUCGAACAGGAUUAGAUACCCCAGUA
rnacentral:rRNA from 1 species